GGGCACCUGACCAAAAGAGCCAAUGGGAGGGCUAGAACUUUUUAAAAGGGGGGAAAAAAACUUCCCUUUGUCUGUGUGUUGCACUUCUCUGGAAAAGAGCGGAGACGCAUAGCAGGAAUGCUGUAAGCAGCUUUAAAACCAGCUCCAAGGGACUUCGACCACCUGUGAAGGAAGCGCUACAUCAGCGACAGUUCCGAGGAGGAGGAGGGAGUGUCCGAGGAAAGCCCUUUGGCCCAGCCAUUGAUGGAUACGCUGGAACCUGAUCCUGAAAUUCAAGCACUCAUGAGGCAGUCCGACGAGCAUGAUGGCCUCUCAUUGUCCACUACUAUGGUGGAAGGCGAUGACAACUCAUGGGAGCCACCGAUGGACAAGGUGAACGGAAAAGUUGUCACUCAGGGUGAAAUCAAUGGACCUGGUGCUGAUCUUGAUGUGAACUUCAGUGGGAGCUGCAUUUAUUCAGCAUUCCUCAGGAUCAGGCCCAGUGGGACUAUGCAGGAUUGGGCCCAAAGAGAGGGACAUUGUUUGGAAAGGCAACACAAAAAGAUAGUUACACAGGUCCUGUGAAGAACAAUUUAUUCAAAUAGCACCUGACAAAGGAAGUAUACAGAGUAGGGAAGCUACUGUAUUACAAGCAGAAAUCAAAUGUAAAGGAGCUUCAGACUGAAAUGGAAUAAGCUUUGUUCUUGUUGGCAUUGCUUUCUGACUCUACAUAGAAAAUGAAAAUGGAUCUAAUGAAAUGAGGUUCAAAUCCCAGAUGGCUUAUGCCCGCCAGUCGCCUGCUGUUUGAAAAUAAUAAACUCUGCUUUUAAGAACAAAUAGGUAGUGCCAGCCGGCUAGGGUUGCAUUUAAAAGUUUUAUUUCUGGCAAACUGCAGCGAUUAUUGGGGACUCUGCCACAUUGCAUUUAAUAUGCUUAUUCUCCUUUUUUAACCACCAGUGCAUUUUGCAGCAUGUACAAAAUUAACUGUUAUUUUAUUAGAGUGAAAUCUUUCUCAAGCAACCACUCAAGGGACAGACAAAAAUCAGUCGCCUAAUGGACAUGGUCUUCUCAUCGCGGUGAAGCACAGUUGCAGUCACUAUGCUUGAGGGGAUCAUUCAGGGCAAUCUCUUUAAGACCGUUGCCUAAUAAGACUAGGCUCUUGCCCAGGUUUCACUCUGUUUUUAGAAAACAAAAUCCUAGUGACUCUUUUUAUACUGACAAAAUAUAUUUGUUCUUGUGUAGAAACAUCGUCUUAUCAAAACAGAUCCACAAUAGUUAGGCUUAUAGCAAUCAGAAAAGGAGAGAGGAAGAGAAUUUCAAAUCCCUGUGUAACAUUUUGUGGGGGG